UGGCUCGAGGAUGAACGCUAGCGGGAGGCCUAAUACAUGCAAGUCGAGCGGUAGAGUGACUUCGGUUGCUUGAGAGCGGCGCGACGGGUGAGUAACGCGUACAUGACCUUACCUUUAAGACGUGGGAUAGCCCGUAGGAAACGUGGGAUUAAUACCGGAUGUGAUAAUACGUAUAGAGAUGUAUUAUUAAAGUUGAGGCGCUUAGAGAUGGAUGUGCGUCUGAUUAGCUAGUUGGUAGGGUAACGGCCUACCAAGGCGACGAUCAGUAGGGGGCGUGAGAGCGUGGCCCCCCACACGGGUACUGAGACACGGACCCGACUCCUACGGGAGGCAGCAGUAAGGAAUAUUGGUCAAUGGACGGAAGUCUGAACCAGCCAUCCCGCGUGCAGGAUGACUGCCCUAUGGGUUGUAAACUGCUUUUAGCAGAGACGAAACGCCUUCAUUUAUGAGGGUCUGACGGUAUCUGCAGAAUAAGCACCGGCUAACUCCGUG
rnacentral:rRNA from 1 species